rnacentral:rRNA from 1 species
UACGUAGGGGGGCGAGCGUUGUCCGAAGUUACUGGGCGUAAAGCGCGCGUAGGCGGUCCUUUAAGUCUGGUGUGAAAGGUUUGGGCUCAACCCGAACAGUGCACUGGAUACUGGGGGACUUGAGUUAGGGAGAGGAGAGUGGAAUUCCCAGUGUAGCGGUGAAAUGCGUAGAUAUUGGGAGGAACACCAGUGGCGAAGGCGGUCCCCUGGGCCGGAACUGACGCUGAGGCGCGAAAGCGUGGGUAGCAAACAGG